rnacentral:rRNA from 1 species
CUUUCAACAACGGAUCUCUUGGUUCCAGCAUCGAUGAAGAACGCANCGAAAUGCGAUAAGUAAUGUGAAUUGCAGAAUUCAGUGAAUCAUCGAAUCUUUGAACGCACAUUGCGCCCCUCGGUAUUCCGGGGGGCAUGCCUGUUCGAGCGUCAUUAACACCCCUCAAGCGUAGCUUGGUAUUGGGCCUCCGCCGUCACGGCGGGCCCGAAA